rnacentral:rRNA from 1 species
CAUGCCGCGUGUGUGAAGAAGGCCUUCGGGUUGUAAAGCACUUUCAGCGAGGAGGAAAAGGCAGGUGUUAAUACCACUCUGUUUUGACGGUACUCGCAGAAGAAGCACCGGCUAAUUUCGUGCCAGCAACCUCGGUGACUGAGCGGGCUGGCAAGGCGCAUA